rnacentral:siRNA from 1 species
AGCCUGAAUAUCACAAAUAAGAAG